GAUGAACGCUGGCGGCGUGCCUAAUACAUGCAAGUCGAGCGAACAGAUGCGGAGCUUGCUCCUCUGACGUUAGCGGCGGACGGGUGAGUAACACGUGGAUAACCUACCUAUAAGACUGGGAUAACUUCGGGAAACCGGAGCUAAUACCGGAUAAUAUAUUGAACCGCAUGGUUCAAUAGUGAAAGACGGUUUUGCUGUCACUUAUAGAUGGAUCCGCGCCGCAUUAGCUAGUUGGUAAGGUAACGGCUUACCAAGGCAACGAUGCGUAGCCGACCUGAGAGGGUGAUCGGCCACACUGGAACUGAGACACGGUCCAGACUCCUACGGGAGGCAGCAGUAGGGAAUCUUCCGCAAUGGGCGAAAGCCUGACGGAGCAACGCCGCGUGAGUGAUGAAGGUCUUCGGAUCGUAAAACUCUGUUAUGAGGGAAGAACAAAUGUGUAAGUAACUAUGCACGUCUUGACGGUACCUAAUCAGAAAGCCACGGCUAACUACGUG
rnacentral:rRNA from 1 species